rnacentral:rRNA from 1 species
AGAACGAACGCUGGCGGCAUGCCUAAUACAUGCAAGUCGAACGAACUCUUCGGAGUUAGUGGCGCACGGGUGCGUAACGCGUGGGAAUCUGCCCCUUGGUUCGGAAUAACAGUUGGAAACGACUGCUAAUACCGGAUGAUGACGAAAGUCCAAAGAUUUAUCGCCAAGGGAUGAGCCCGCGUAGGAUUAGCUAGUUGGUGAGGUAAAGGCUCACCAAGGCAACGAUCCUUAGCUGGUCUGAGAGGAUGAUCAGCCACACUGGGACUGGAGACACGGCCCAGACCUCCGUACGGGAGGCAG